rnacentral:rRNA from 1 species
GAUCCAGCCAUGCCGCGUGUGUGAAGAAGGCCUUUUGGUUGUAAAGCACUUUAAGCGAGGAGGAGGCUACUUGGAUUAAUACUCUAGGAUAGUGGACGUUACUCGCAGAAUAAGCACCGGCUAACUCUGUGCCAGCAGCCGCGGUAAUACAGAGGGUGCGAGCGUUAAUCGGAUUUACUGGGCGUAAAGCGUGCGUAGGCGGCUUUUUAAGUCGGAUGUGAAAUCCCUGAGCUUAACUUAGGAAUUGCAUUCGAUACUGGGAAGCUAGAGUAUGGGAGAGGAUGGUAGAAUUCCAGGUGUAGCGGUGAAAUGCGUAGAGAUCUGGAGGAAUACCGAUGGCGAAGGCAGCCAUCUGGCCUAAUACUGACGCUGAGGUACGAAAGCAUGGGGAGCAAACAGGAUUAGAUACCCUGGUAGUCCAUGCCGUAAACGAUGUCUACUAGCCGUUGGGGCCUUUGAGGCUUUAGUGGCGCAGCUAACGCGAUAAGUAGACCGCCUGGGGAGUACGGUCGCAAGACUAAAACUCAAAUGAAUUGACGGGGGCCCGCACAAGCGGUGGAGCAUGUGGUUUAAUUCGAUGCAACGCGAAGAACCUUACCUGGUCUUGACAUAGUAAGAACUUUCCAGAGAUGGAUUGGUGCCUUCGGGAACUUACAUACAGGUGCUGCAUGGCUGUCGUCAGCUCGUGUCGUGAGAUGUUGGGUUAAGUCCCGCAACGAGCGCAACCCUUUUCCUUAUUUGCCAGCGGGUUAAGCCGGGAACUUUA